UGUCGCCCAGAUAAAGAAGGUACCGCAAGCUACCUUAGUAAUCUGCUGGACAGAGGGUCGACGCCUAUUGUAGGUAGACUUCGAGCAGAAGGAGUGAUGGGUCGACGCCUAUUGUAGAUAGACUUCGAAGAGAUCCCAAGAGACCAAUAAAUUAGGACUUACCUAGCGGUUCGAGCACGGGCCCAGCUGGACCUCACAUACGACAACCUACUUUGGUUUCUUGGCUUCCGAGACGGCAAUAGUGAAGAACUUUUGUAGUGUUUGUUAAAGAGAGGCCCGGUAUUUUAACCUUCACCGCCUAAACGCCACCAGAUAUUCCCUCAGGAACUGUUACCGUGCCAGCGACACUUCUUCAACAGGUUGUGCAUAAACAUACUCCUAUUCAAGGCCGUCCUCUAACUUACAGACUACUUCCGCUUCGUGUUUUUAUAUCAUGCCAAAGACCCUAUGACAUCGCUGUGUGUCCUCCUUAAGAAUUUUAUACUUCCUUUUAGAUAGUACCGACCGUAAGUUCUUUCUUAUGAGACGAAACUCAUACAUGGGUUCCCCCUAGAAAACUUCAUAUAGAGACUACGUAGAUCACCUGAACUUACCGCACUAGCGAUGUUUUAUUAUUUUCCUUAGACACUCCCUAACUUAAUGGAAGUGUGUGUUUUAUAACAAGUGGACCUAGAAUUCGGUCGUUUAUAUGAGUACCUGCUAUUUUACCACGGCUUUUAGUGACUGAAACCACAUAGCUCCACGAAGUUUCUUCUGGUUUGGGCCUGAUAACAAUGUUAUCAACGACCUUGGGGACCUAUAGACCGUGGUCUUAAGUGGUUACCGCAUUAAUGUAAGUUUAUACUGAACAUACGAGAACCACAAUAUUAGUACCUCUAUGAUUGACCUCGUUUUCCUAUGGUACUUCGACCCCUUCAUGAACUUUCCACCUCGUCAUCCGACCUUUGUAGUGUCUUUGACGUUCAUGCUCAUACGUGAUUGUAUCGUUAUCUCACGCGACUAAAGUUAGGACGUUCUUCUGGUUGAUCAUAUGUUAUACAUUAACUAUCCGAAUGACUUUGUCUUUCGUGCCUUUGCUCCCUGGUUGAACUGCACAUGGAACAGCUCGAAGCGAAGGGACAGUCUUGGUUGUGUCUACUUGUGUGCCAUAAGUCCGAAUAUCUCUUCUCGUGGUUCGGAACCGCAACGAAACGUUCAGAGGGUGAUAUGCCGUAACACGGAAGGUCCAAGUGGUGUAUGUGAGAGCAACAAUGUUGCGUUGUCGUUCUCUCCGAUGGUCUUCUUUGCCUCAUACUAGACUAGGACGUCUCGUCAGACAGACCUCUAUUUUUUUAGGGAUGAAGCUCUCUGGUUAGAUUCAUAUUUUUCAAUAAGCUACUUCGAUUUCUCAGUCCCUCACUUCACGCACUCUACGACUUUUGACAAAAACGAAGCGUUCUUGUCUGUUACAGGCGCUGUUAGAGUUCUUCUUAUUUCCUAGUUGCCUAGUAUAGGGAAUUCUUAUGAGUACCACAAGACACGAGGGAACUACGUGUGGGAUGCCUCGGUACGUAAUAUUGUCCAGUAGUCUUGCCUCUACAAACGUAUACCUUGAUACUGUGCGUCUCCGUCUACCUAAGUAAAUCAUAGAGCUUCCUCAGUCAGUACGGAAGAAUGCAUGGUUUUUUUCAAGUAAGGCAAUUUCAACAGAGUUCUUUCUUUACCAAACACCGACCUUGUAGACUACCACACUAGGUACACAUGUUAAUACUGUUGUUUUAUGUCUUUGAGUCUUCGAAGUCUCGGCGGUCACUAACGAAGUAGUGUAGUUACCGGCAGUUAGGUUGGGCAGGCAUGUAUAACAGUAGCCGAAUAGCACUAUACUUCGAGACCCUGACCUCGUUCCCCACCCUCACGUCUGUAAGUAAGCACCUUCUUGUGAGGCUAUGAUAUGCAGUUCAACGUAAAUUGGGUUACCUGUGGUCGUAAAAACGUUCACGAAGUCUACUAGAGUGCCAUUUCCAAACCUCGUAACUAAGAGGACUUAGAUUUAUAUGGAACAGACCCGUAGACCUGUUUCACUUGACAAAGCUAAAGAAGUGUACACUACUAGCUGUUAUAAACUAAUGACCGAGACUGCUGGUGUGACGAUUCUAUACCCUGUACCUCCUUUUCCGGACACAAGUAUGUUACCUUCGAAAGUACAGAGGUCAUUAAAGACAGUAACGGAAAGGGCUAUCGGGUAUAGACUAAUGUCCAAGUUCUCUACCGAGACAAAUAAAGACCUCGAGGUCAUUUAAGUCACUUAAGACGUUUCAAGGAUCCGACCUCUCUUAGCACUUGAAACCGAGACCACCUCGAUAAACCCCAAAGCCUGUAAAGUACCCCAGUUCUUCAAGGGUCGGGUCUACUCGCCGCCGCCGCCGUUGUAGACCCGCACUCGCGUCCGUCGCUGUUGUAGAUCAGUAGUCGUGCCGCCGUUGUAGAAGUGCACUCGUCGCCGCCGUAGUAGUAGAGCGCCGCCGCCGCAGGAGGUACAGCUGAGGUAGGAUAAGGAUCGUGCCUGCCCGCUACAGUUGGCGUGGCAGCCGUUCAGUUGGUGGUCCAUUAGUUCGUAGGUGUGGCAGUGUAUGGGUGAAAGGGAACACGGUAGAGGUACGGGAGGGGCAGAGGGCGAUACGGCGGCCGUUCCCGUGGUGGUCCACUUGCGGCCGUUCUCGUGGUUGUUUCCCUUCAUCCUAAGUCUUCCUCUAGGGACAUAUAAGUCAAUAAGUAUCUUUCUACAUCCUAGGUCGACUAACCACCAGGUUAGUACCCAGUUCAUGUGGUUUAGAGUCCCAUAACCGCUACGCCUAAAACUCAAACUGUACGUCGAGGAGCCGAACACUCUCCUUAAAGUCACAAAAAGUCGUCUAAGUGUGUUUUUCUGCGUUAUCCGAUGAAGUACUGUUUUACUCUCUGGAACACAAGUAGUUCAAGUUGAGGUUUGAUUUCGUUUUCUCUCCCUACUUUUUGUCCCUGGGUUAACUCCUGGUGUGUAAACAUCUACAACAUCUUCUACUUCCGUUACUCACCUAGUGACCACAACACGGAUAACUUCCUCACGUUUGUCCUAAACUUGGACUUCUACAUGUUCAACAUCUUGGUUGUAAUCUUCCUCUUCAACGAGGUAGUUUUUCUUUCUAUCACAGAGUUAGAGCAGGAUCCUUCUUCUUCUUCAACGAAGGAUAAAUAGCACUACUACUCAACGUUAGUCGACUCAGAAGAAGACUUAGCCUUCUACUACUGUACGUAAAUGGUCACUCACUAAGACUUAUUAGAGUAACACGAUACAACAUUACAACAACGGAAGCCACCGACAACCACAUCUGAUAGAAUUUUCAGACACACAGUAAAACACAACAUAACAACGACGGGGCCACCGACAACUACAAUCUCUGAGAAUUUUGAUACCAACAACUUCUCUGAAUGGAAUUUUGACAUCAACAACUACAAUUUCUGAUACCAACAACAACGGGUCCCAGCGACAACUACAAACAACUACAAUCUCUGAAAAUUUUAACAUCAACAACUACAAUCUUUGAUAACUUUGACAAACUCUGAAUGAUGAAA
rnacentral:rRNA from 1 species